ensembl:snoRNA SNORA63 Small nucleolar RNA SNORA63
AAGCAGGUUAAGUUACAAUAUAGUGGUGCAGUGCUAUGUUGUCGUUCCCCCUGCUAAAAAUAACUUGUUUCCUACUAUCCCUGACUGUUGUCUUUCCAGCAGGCAGGGACGCUUGGUCUCAAACAC